UACGGAGGGGGCUAGCGUUGUUCGGAAUUACUGGGCGUAAAGCGCACGUAGGCGGCUUUGUAAGUUAGAGGUGAAAGCCCAGGGCUCAACCCUGGAAUUGCCUUUAAGACUGCAUCGCUUGAACAUCGGAGAGGUAAGUGGAAUUCCGAGUGUAGAGGUGAAAUUCGUAGAUAUUCGGAAGAACACCAGUGGCGAAGGCGACUUACUGGACGAUUGUUGACGCUGAGACGCGAAAGCGUGGGGAGCGAACAGG
rnacentral:rRNA from 1 species